UACAGAGGGGGCAAGCGUUGUUCGGAAUUACUGGGCGUAAAGGGCGCGUAGGCGGUUCGUCAAGUCCUGUGUGAAAUCCCCCGGCUCAACUGGGGAACUGCACAGGAAACUAGCGGGCUUGAGUCCGGGAGAGGAGAGUGGAAUUCCUGGUGUAGCGGUGAAAUGCGCAGAUAUCAGGAAGAACACCCGUGGCGAAAGCGGCUCUCUGGAACGGUACUGACGCUGAGACGCGAAAGCGUGGGGAGCGAACAGG
rnacentral:rRNA from 1 species